rnacentral:rRNA from 1 species
UUGGAGGGCAGUCUGGUGCCAGCAGCCGCGGUAAUUCCAGCUCCAUAGCGUAUAUUAAGUUGUUGCAGUUAAAAAGCUCGUAGUUGAAUUUCGGGAUCAAUUUGUCGGUCGUGCCUCGGUACGUACUGGCAUUAUUGAUUUCUCCCUUCUGAAGAACCGCGAUGUCAUUAAUUUGGUGUCGUGGGGAAUCAGGACUGUUACUUUGAAAAAAUUAGAGUGUUUAAAGCAGGCGCACGCUUGAAUACAUUAGCAUGGAAUAAUGAAAUAGGACGUUUGAUUCUAUUUUGUUGGUUUCUAGGAUCGACGUAAUGAUUAAUAGGGAUAGUUGGGGGCAUUAGUAUUCAAUUGUCAGAGGUGAAAUUCUUGGAUUUAUUGAAGACUAACUACUGCGAAAGCAUUUGCCAAGGAUGUUUUCAUUAAUCAAGAACGAAAGUUAGGGGAUCGAAGACGAUCAGAUACCGUCGUAGUCUUAACCAUAAACUAUGCCGACUAGGGAUCGGAUGAUGUUAAUUUUUUAAUGACUCAUUCGGCGCCUUACGGGAAAC